rnacentral:lncRNA from 1 species
AUGAGGGGGAACACAUUCAAGGGCUCCAAAAGACGAGAGCCAUCACCACCACCACCACCAACUCCACCACCACCGCCAUCACCAAUAAAAAAACCUUCAUCCGGCGUGGGGAAGCCAGAGAUGCCCUCCCAUGCUGGGAUCUUCUUCACACACUCCAGGGGUUACCGCUGUGAAAAAGAGACCGACGAGGAGAGGGGAGACAGCCGCUCUCAAACACCAUGAUGCGACAAUUUAACGAUGGUCGCCCCUCAGAACAGAAACAUAAACCAAUCUGAGCCUGUGAGAAGCUUAACCUCGACGAGCCUUCACCCUGAAUUUGACUGCAGGCAAAACUCCCUGAAUGGAACACCUAGUAAAGAGAAACACCCACCACUUUUCUGCAAAGGUUCGGUACGUGAGGACGCAACCAUCCUUCAAUGAAUGGGAAAACAACUUUAGGGUUGUUUCUGGCACUGAGCACCGGUUUACAUCCAGCUGAAUCUUCAAUCACAUCCGUUCAACUGUAUUGACCUCACUGCCCUUUGCCCUCUCAUACAAUUUUGGCCACUGUG